GAUCAUGGCUUAGGAUGAACGCUAGCGACAGGCCUAACACAUGCAAGUCGAGGGGCAGCGAAGAGGUAGCAAUACCUUGUCGGCGACCGGCGCACGGGUGAGUAACACGUAUGCAAUCCACCUGUAACAGGGGGAUAACCCGGAGAAAUCCGGACUAAUACCCCAUAAUAUGGGCGCUCCGNAUGGAGAGCCCAUUAAAGAGAGCAAUUUUGGUUACAGACGAGCAUGCGCUCCAUUAG
rnacentral:rRNA from 1 species